rnacentral:rRNA from 3 species
UAACACAUGCAAGUCGAACGGUAACAGGAAGCAGCUUGCUGCUUUGCUGACGAGUGGCGGACGGGUGAGUAAUGUCUGGGAAACUGCCUGAUGGAGGGGGAUAACUACUGGAAACGGUGGCUAAUACCGCAUAACGUCGCAAGACCAAAGAGGGGGACCUUCGGGCCUCUUGCCAUCAGAUGUGCCCAGAUGGGAUUAGCUUGUUGGUGAGGUAACGGCUCACCAAGGCGACGAUCCCUAGCUGGUCUGAGAGGAUGACCAGCCACACUGGAACUGAGACACGGUCCAGACUCCUACGGGAGGCAGCAGUGGGGAAUAUUGCACAAUGGGCGCAAGCCUGAUGCAGCCAUGCCGCGUGUAUGAAGAAGGCCUUCGGGUUGUAAAGUACUUUCAGCGGGGAGGAAGGUGUUGUGGUUAAUAACCGCAGCAAUUGACGUUACCCGCAGAAGAAGCACCGGCUAACUCCGUGCCAGCAGCCGCGGUAAUACGGAGGGUGCAAGCGUUAAUCGGAAUUACUGGGCGUAAAGCGCACGCAGGCGGUCUGUCAAGUCGGAUGUGAAAUCCCCGGGCUCAACCUGGGAACUGCAUUCGAAACUGGCAGGCUUGAGUCUUGUAGAGGGGGGUAGAAUUCCAGGUGUAGCGGUGAAAUGCGUAGAGAUCUGGAGGAAUACCGGUGGCGAAGGCGGCCCCCUGGACAAAGACUGACGCUCAGGUGCGAAAGCGUGGGGAGCAAACAGGAUUAGAUACCCUGGUAGUCCACGCCGUAAACGAUGUCUACUUGGAGGUUGUGCCCUUGAGGCGUGGCUUCCGGAGCUAACGCGUUAAGUAGACCGCCUGGGGAGUACGGCCGCAAGGUUAAAACUCAAAUGAAUUGACGGGGGCCCGCACAAGCGGUGGAGCAUGUGGUUUAAUUCGAUGCAACGCGAAGAACCUUACCUGGUCUUGACAUCCACAGAAGAAUCCAGAGAUGGAUUUGUGCCUUCGGGAACUGUGAGACAGGUGCUGCAUGGCUGUCGUCAGCUCGUGUUGUGAAAUGUUGGGUUAAGUCCCGCAACGAGCGCAACCCUUAUCCUUUGUUGCCAGCGGUUAGGCCGGGAACUCAAAGGAGACUGCCAGUGAUAAACUGGAGGAAGGUGGGGAUGACGUCAAGUCAUCAUGGCCCUUACGACCAGGGCUACACACGUGCUACAAUGGCGCAUACAAAGAGAAGCGACCUCGCGAGAGCAAGCGGACCUCAUAAAGUGCGUCGUAGUCCGGAUUGGAGUCUGCAACUCGACUCCAUGAAGUCGGAAUCGCUAGUAAUCGUGGAUCAGAAUGCCACGGUGAAUACGUUCCCGGGCCUUGUACACACCGCCCGUCACACCAUGGGAGUGGGUUGCAAAAGAAGUAGGUAGCUUAACCUUCGGGAGGGCGCUUACCACUUUGUGAUUCAUGACUGGGGUGAAGUCGUAACAAGGUAACCGUAGGGGAACCUGCGGUUGGA